GGUGAACGCUGGCGGUGUGCCUAAAACAUGCAAGUCGAGCGGAAUCUUCGGAUUUAGCGGCGAACGGCGGAGUAAGACAUAAAUAACAUACCCUAAAGACUGGGAUAGCCAACCGAAAGGUUGAGUAAUACCAGAUGUGGUUGUUAAAAGGCAUCUUUUAAACAUUAAACGGAUUUAUUCGCUUUAGGAAUGGUUUGUGAUAUAUCAGCUAGUUGGUAGGGUAAUGGCUUACCAAGGCUACGACGUAUAGGGGGUCUGAGAGGAUGAUCCCCCCGAGUGGGACUGAGACACGGCCCACACACCUACGGGUGGCAGCAGUUAGGAAUCUUGCACAAUGGGGGAAACCCUGAUGCAGCGACACCGCGUGGAGGAUGAAGGCUCUAGGGUUGUAAACUCCUUUUGACAGGAAAGACUUAGGACGGUACCUGUCGAAUAAGCUCCGGCUAACUACGUGCCAGCAGCCGCAGUAAAAC
rnacentral:rRNA from 1 species